rnacentral:rRNA from 1 species
GACAUAGGUCGCGACCGUUAUCCGGAAUUAUUGGGCGUAAAGGGUGCGUAGCUGGUAUGAUAAGUUACUGGUGGUAAAUCGGGGCUCAACCCCGCGGAAGCUGGUAAUACUGUCGUACUAGAGUGCAGGAGAGGUUAACGGAACUCCAUGUGGAGCGGUAAAAUGUGUAGAUAUAUGGAUGAACACCAAUAACGGCGAAGGCAGUUAACUAUUCUGCUACUGACAUUGAGGCACGAAAGCGUGGGGAGCAAAAAGG